rnacentral:rRNA from 1 species
GACGAACGCUGGCGGCGUGCCUAAUACAUGCAAGUAGAACGAGUGGCGGACGGGUGCGUAAUGUCUGGGAACCUGCCCGAUGGAGGGGGCUAACUACUGGCACCGUUAGCUAAUACUGCAUACCAUCGUAUGUGCUCUGAGGGGAUUAGCUAGUAGGUGGGGUAACGGCUCACCUAGGCGACGAUCCCUCGCUGGUCUGAGAGGAUGACCGGCCACACGGGAACUGAGACACGGCCCAGACUCCUACGGGAGGCAGCAGUGGGGAAUAUUGCACAAUGGGCGCAAGCCUGAUGCAGCCAUGCCGCGUGUAUGAAGAAGGCCUUCGGGUUGUAAAGUACUGUCAGCGAGGAGGCGUUACCCGAAGAAGAAGCCACGGCUAACUCCGUGCCAGCAGCCGCGGUAAUUC